rnacentral:tmRNA from 1 species
UCACUUCACAUUCAGGAUUGCCGCGCUAUAUCAGUCGUGCCGGUUUCGACCGGAUAUGGCGAUAAAUGGCUGCGUAUAAUAGAUGCAACGGACCCGGGGGCAGUACCCGGCGGCUCCACCAGAAACGGCGACUUUUCGCCAGUUCUGAUGGGGCCGAACCAGGAUCGACGUGUGUUGAAAAGCGUAGUUUUUGCCCGGGCUGAGUAACCCGCAUAAGGCUCAAAAACCAUAAGUGCCAACGAUAACGAAGCACUCGCAAUCGCUGCGUAAUUGAUGGGCUAACGCCCUGAUAUUAUUAGGCUAAAAAGCGCGGUUGGACCGACCGGGCAACAGAACGGAUUCCGGGGCUCCGGGGGUAGCUAGCAACAGAAACCCCCACC